rnacentral:lncRNA from 1 species
AAAAAAAAUCUAUAAAAAUCAAAACUAUUAAAAAAAAAUAUUAAGAAAAUCCCUCAGAUCUCAUAGCUAUUAAAUCUGAUCAUUUAUGCACGGCUGGAUUAUGCUGUUGUAGUGAGAGAAAGCAGUGCAUCCAGAGUUUCUGAUAGAGAAGAAUUGGGAGUAUGUGAAGCUGACAGAGCUGUUGGCGACGGAGACGACGGGACCUUGACGUUUGUGACAGAGAUUUUGGGAUCUCCUAGUCGGAAAACGGUGUGGUAAACGUAAUCAUGGUCGUGAUCAGAGACGAUAAAGGGUUCCUACAGAGAAAACAAAUAAUUCCUACGGAGAAUACAAAAAGAUUGAGAAAGAUAAAUGAUGGUUCUGACAGAGAAAACAAAUAAAUUGAGAGGAGAGAUAUGAGAGAUGAUUCUGACGGAGAAAACAAAGAGAUUGAGAGAGAUAAUAGGGGCAAAACAGACAUUAAAAACAUAUAAACCAUAAAAGCAAUUUGUACUGGACUGCAAUCAUGGCCGGUCCUAAGAGUUUGAGCGUCCUAAACCAUUUAGUAAAGAUUUUAAAAGUUUGAAAGGGUAAAAUUGUGUUUUUACAAAUUUAGGGGUCUAUUUACUUAUAAAAGUUUUCAAAAAAUUUAGGGCCCGAGGGGGAA